CUUGUUUUGUUUUUUCCUUUUAAAUAAUUGCUAAGCAGUCUGUUCAUGAAGAACACUGUUCAUGGCCGUAAUUGGUUAUUUGUCAGACCAUGCAUAUAGCAAAGAAAUGUAAAAUAACAUUGUACAGGUUGUAACUUGUUAAUAAUUCAGGAAACUUCAGUUUUUAAUCAAGAAUGCUUACAUUUUAACUAUUUAACGGAAGAAAGGCAUUAUUGUCACAAAGUUUGGGGAUAUACCUGCAUUGUCAUCAACAUAUUGUUAACAUUAUCUAAAAACGUUUUUCUUCCAUUUUUGUUUCAUUAUUGUAAAUGCAAUUUUGAAGUUUCAAUGCAUAUCAUUGCCCAGAUCCAAACUGUUCUGUCUGUUACAGUGCACGUCAAUGUCUCAGAUCCAAACUGUUCUGUCUGUUACAGUGCACGUCAAUGUCUCAGAUCCAAACUGUUCUGUCUGUUACAGUGCACGUCAUUGUCUCAGAUCCAAACUGUUCUGUCUGUUACAGUGCACGUCGUUGUCUCAGAUCCAAACUGUUCUGUCUGUUACAGUGCACGUCAUUGUCUCAGAUCCAAACUGUUCUGUCUGUUACAGUGCACGUCAUUGUCUCAGAUCCAAACUGUUCUGUCUGUUACAGUGCACGUCAUUGUCUCAGAUCCAAACUGUUGUCUUUAUCUGAACAGUUUUGAAGUGAUCUGGAAAUAAUACAUUAUAUACUGUAAACUUAGGUUUUAUAUUGUAUGAAACUGCAUAUUAUUUCCCACUAAUUUACCUCAAAACUGGUACGAUGUUGCCUACAAUCCAUAGUAUUAUGCUCAGUAUAUAUACUCCUGAAUUCCUCACAGUGUAAUAUGGUAAAAGGGAAGAUGUUGAUGCCAUGGACCAGAAACUUCAAGAAUUAAUGCACAUUAUCAGGACUUGACAGAUUCUCAGAAAGCAAGUCAUAAUGCAGGACCAGCAGCUCAGAAUUUUCACUCCUUGUGUUGCAAUUUGUAAGAAAAUGCCUAUCAAGCUUUGCUACUUGUAAUGCAUCUGUUUUUUAAAGUCUGAUUGUGACAAUAUAUAUUAGAAUCUUUUCUAGGAGUAAAGGGCGUUGUCUAGUGAAUGCAUUUAUAUUGCAGUAACAUGAUAAAACAGGUCAAAUUUUAGAGUUGCUAACAAUAAAUCAACUUCUGUUUUCAAUCACUUUUUCUAAGGCUCUGUUUUCAUUGAAUAUUUUAUAUUUGUACCCCCUGACAACAAAGUGGGGGGGAGGGUACAUUCAUCACCUUUAGUGAUAGCUCUAGUUUUGUCAAAAAUCACAUUUGUCUUGGAACAAGUUCCAUUCACCUGCAGCUGUUUCUUCUCACAUUUGUGAAGUUCUUGAGCCCUUAUUGUGAAAGAUAUGUAUUUGGUGAUGUAACACUUAAAAAUAGUAGUUUCAGUAAACUUACUUUGAAAAAAUUGUCAACCUGUUUUGAACAGAAAGGCUUGAUUUACUUAAAGAAAUGUUUUUGAUGUAAAAAUGAUUUUCAUUCAAAAAGAUAAAUUUAUAUUAUAGAGUAGAUUUCAUUUUUUGUGGAGAUGUAAGAUGAAUGUCUACACUGGUCCAUAGCAGAUACUCUUACUAUGACAGGAAAUUUUCAGUCCCUUGUAAUAAAAACAGAUUUCUAUUGUUACAGUAGCUGUAUCCAUAGAUGCUGUAGAUGUCUUACUUUUAAUUUGAUACUUCGUUAAAAUUGUUGAUUUUUGUAUUGUUGAAGGUUAAAACAAAGUUGUUGAUGUGAUAUAUUUUUAUUCAAAUUAGUUUCUAAUAUAUUAACUUGUUAUGUCCAAAAUACACCAGUUUUGCUUUUGCUCAUUAGUGGUUAGAAUUAUGACUCCUCAUUGCAUACUUAAAGGCUCAUAAUGCCUUUGUUUAAAAUGUGGCAACCACAUUAACCGUUAUGAACUUUCUUGUUAAAUCUUUCUUCCGAUAACUGUUUCUAUUUUUUCAUAGGUCUAAAUACUGAUAACCAAAGUAGAAAGUUUUAUUGAAUGUAUUGUUUUUGAUUACCUCCCUUUUUGGCUCUAACUGUUAAAGUUCAUGUGAAGUAUUAAAAGAACUGCUUUUCUUACCAUGUAAUUAUGCACAAUAUCUAUUUAGACAGCUGUUUUUAACGUAAAGUUUAAAGCCUUAUGGAACUUCAGUAGCCUGUUCACCAUUUGUUAUACUUACUGAAUUAAUGAAAUGUCAAUCAAACUUUUUUUAUAAUCAUCAUAAACAAUCAAAUUUUAGUACUGUGUAACAUACCAGAUUUAAAUUUGAUUUAUUUGAGGUGAAAGGGCUGAGAGAUAGAAAUGAUUAGAAUUAUCAAUUUUUUGUGUCAGAAUUUAUUUGUUAUACAUGUAUGUCAUCCACUUUGUAUUGUCAGUACUACUUUGCAUAAUUUUACUGUUUAUGCCUGCUUGUUUUUGUAUGUCCAGGAAUAUUCAUAGUCAGGCCUUUUUGUACUUUCCUGAUGUACUUAUAAAUUAUAUUGUCUUAAGGUAAUUAAAAUCACUUUAGAAUAUUAAAGGCAGAUUGUAGGACAUUUCAAGGACUUCAGUGAUAAGAUUCCUUGUGUGAUAAGGUCUUAAAAUGCUGUAUUGUGAUUACACUUAAGAUUUUAUCAUACAGAUGUACUGUAUUUUUGGAACAGAUUCAUUUUUUGUUUACAAAAACGUUAACAUUGAUUGAAAUCUGGAAUACAGUUGUUUUGUCCAGCACAUUUUUAGUGUAAUCUUCCAUCUUUUUUUGUAGUCAGAGUUGCUCAAUGAUUUAAAGACCUCCAAUUUUCUUUUUUUGUUUUUGUUUUUGCUACAAUAUUUUAUUUUACUGUAUUUUCUGUUUUAAGGAAAAAAUCUACGACUCUCAUUUGCAAAUCCAUAAAAUGAAACAGUAUUCAUAUAAUUUAAUCAUGUAUAAACAAAUGUAAUAAUUUUAUCUGCGUAAUGUUGUAUAGACCUCAAAGUGUUUAAUUUGGGUAAAUACCUAAAACAUGGGUAAAAGAGUCUGCUUUCAUUUUUUGAGAAAUAUUUAAAUGUGGGAAAAGUAGUCUUCCCCUAAAAUUACUUUUUAUAGUUUUCUUUGAAUUUAUCUUCAAAAAAUGCAGUUUUAAAGAACGGUUUUAUUUGUUAUACCAGAACAUUAGGAGAUUCUUAUCUAUGUAUUAUACAGUGUAACUUCCGAAAACCGGACCUUCUAAAAACCGGAAACCUUUGAAAACCGCACGAAACUGAAAGUCCCGUUUUUUUCUGUUCUUAUUUCAAUAUAUUUUUAACUUCUGAAAACCGGAACUUCUGAAUUCUGAAAACCGGACGAUUUUUGAAUGACCAUUUAAAUUUUAACACUAAAGUGGACUUCCAAAUACCGAACAGCAAAAUAUUUGCCGGAUUAAAUUUGUCACCUGUCUUUAACAUGUUGUUAAUCUAAGAAUGCCCGUGGCAAGUUGUCAACAUGUUCUUUUGUUAAUCUAUUAGCGGCGCGCAUUUAUUUUGACACGUGUUAUAAUCACAAUGAUCAUUUGAUGCAAUGUGAAAUAAUAAUCGACAAUUACAUGUAUUUGUUUUUAAUUUAUGAAAACUUGAUGAAUUAAAUAUCUUACAUGUGGAAAACUUUCUUAUUGUUUGAAUGAAAGAAAGUUCGAUGUUUUUAAGUGAUUUACUUAAAUCGAUUAAGCUAUGCAUUAUCAACAACAAUUAAAUAUUGACAAACUCGGAAUUUCAAAGAUGGUAAAAUAUUAUUAUUAUUAUUAUUAUUAUUUUGUAUAUAAAAAUGAAAAUUUAUCAUUCAUUCUUGAUUAUUCUUAAUGUUUGUAUAAAUUAAUCAAUUCAUAUGUUAUUAUUAAUUAAUAAAUUAAUUAAUUACUUUAUAACUUGUACAAUUGUAAAGGAUAAUAAUCCCCUUCAUCCUACGUGUAAGAAAACAUAACUCUAGUGCACCACGUCCACUUUGACUGCAAACUUUCAAACUUCUGAAAUCCGGAAACUUCCAAAUACCGAACUUUAAUGUUGGUCCGGAGGUCGUUCGGUUUUCAGAAGUUACACUGUACCACAUUUACAUUUGCUGUAAUAUAAGUAAUGAUUUUUUUUGCAAGAAAAUUUACAGUGUUAACAAAAUUUACAAAUAAAAUUUGCUUUAAAAAUAUUUCUUUGAAAACUUAAUGUUUACACCUUAUUUUGCAACAUUCCACACAUUUUGAAAUUGUUUUUUAUGAGUUAUUGUGAUUGCUCGAUGUCCAGCGUCUGUCGGCUGUCAACAUUUAGCUUGUGUAUGUGAUAGAGGCUGUAUUUUUCAACUUAUCUUCAUGAAAUUUUGUCAGAAUGAUUACCUUGAUGAAAUCUAGGCCAAGUUCCAAAAUGGUUCAUCUGGGGUCAAAAACUAGGUCACUAGGUCAAAUCAAAGAAAAACCUUGUGUAUGCGAUAGAGGCUGUAUUUUUCAACUGAUCUUCAUGAAAUUUUGUCAGAAUGAUAACCUUGAUGAAAUCUAGGCCAAGUUCAAAAAUGGGUCAUCUGGGGUCAAAAACUAGGUCACUAGGUCAAAUCAAAGAAAAACCUUAUGUAUGCGAUAGAGACUGUAUUUUUCAAUUGAUCUUCAUGAAAUUUGGUCGGAAUGAUUGCCUUAAUGAAAUCUAGAUAGAGUUUGAAUACGGGUCAUCUGAGGUCAAAAACUGGGUCACUAGAUCAAAUUAUUGAAAGAUAGAUAGAGAGAGACUGUAUUUUUCAAUCGAUUUUCAUGAAAUUUGGUCACAAUGAUUGCCUUGAUAAAAUUUAAGUCGAGUUUGAAUAUGGGUCAUCUGAGGUCAAAAAGUAAGUCACUAGGGCAAAUCAAAGAAAAACCUUCUGUAUGCGAUAGAAGCUGUAUUUUUCAAUUGAUCUUCAUGAAAUUUGGUCAGAAUGAUUGCCUUGAUAAAAUCUAGAUCAAGUUCUAAUGUGGGUCAUCUGGGGUCAGAAACUAGGUCACUAGGUCAUAUCUAAGAAAAUACUUGUUUAAACUCAAGAGACCACUUUUUUGGUCCAAUCUUAAUGAAAAUUGGCCAGAAUAUUUGUUUCCAUGAAAUAACUAGGUCAAACAUGUUUACACUGUUACAGUAUGUUUCUCAGGUGAGCGACCUGGAGCCAUCUUGGCCCUCUUGUUUCAUUGUAUAUUUCAAUUUCAUUUUGAUAAUGUAUUCAUUCUUGUACUUUUUAUGAAUUGAUUUAUUUACACAUUAAAUUACAUGUUACUUGUUCCUUAUGUCCUUACAGGUUUUUUUGUAGAAAACUUAAAAAAUAGUUUGGCAGAUUUUUCGUAAACAGAAUUUAAACCAUUUAUUUGUGCUACACUCCAAAGAUACUAGGGAGGAUAAACGUAACUUACCUUGUUAUUCACAGGAAAUUAUUCUGUACCAGCAAAACAUCCCAAAUGUUUCUCCUUGCUUGUUAUUGACUGCAACAAUAGCCUCCCAACUGAUGUAGAGGAAGUGAUAUUUCAUGUAUAUAUCUGUCUUAUUUUGAUGCCACUCUUUGAUGUUUGAGAAUCCUUUUAUUUAUAAGUUUUAUACCAUUGAAAUUUUUUAAAUACACAAUCAGUCUGGUGUUUUACAAUUUAAGAUUGUAGGAUAUGUUGAGAUGUUUUACAAUUUAAGAUUGUAAGAUAUGUUGAGAUGUUUUGCAAUUUAAGAAUGUAGGAUAUGUUAAGAUGUUUUGUGUUUUACAAUUUAGAAUUGUAAGAUAUGUUAAGAUGUUUUACAAUUUAAGAUUGUAAGAUAUGUUAAGAUGUUUUGCAAUUUAAGAAUGUAGGAUAUGUUAAGAUGUUUUGCAAUUUAAAAUUGUAAGAUAUGUUAAGAUGUUUUACAAUGUAAGAUUGUAGGAUAUGUUAAGAUGUUUUACAAUUUAAGAUUGUAGGAUAUGUUAAGAUGUUUUGCAAUUUAAGAUUGUUGGAUAUGUUAAGAUGUUUUGCAAUUUAAGAUUGUAGGAUAUUGUAAGAUGUUUUGCAAUUUAAAAUUGUAAGAUAUGUUAAGAUGUUUUACAAUGUAAGAUUGUAGGAUAUGUUAAGAUGUUUUACAGUUUAAGAUUGUAGGAGAUGUAAUUUAAGAUUGUAGGACAUGUUAAGAUGUUUUGCAAUUUAAGAUUGUAGGAUAUGUUAAGAUGUUUUGCAAUUUAGAAUUGUAGGAUAUGUUAAGAUGUUUUGCAAUUAAAGAUUGUAGGAUAUGUUAAGAUGUUUUGCAGUUUAAAAUUGUAAGAUAUGUUAAGAUGUUUUACAAUUUAAGAUUGUAGGAUAUGUUAAGAUGUUUUGCAAUUUAAGAUUGUAGGAUAUGUUAAGAUGUUUUGCAGUUUAAAAUUGUAAGAUAUGUUAAGAUGUUUUGCAAUUUAAGAUUGUAGGAUAUGUUAAGAUGUUUUGCAAUUUAAAAUUGUAAGAUAUGUUAAGAUGUUUUACAAUUUAAGAUUGUAGGAUAUGUUAUUAUAAUAAGAUGUUUUACAAUUUAAGAUUGUAGGAUAUGUAAUUUAAGAUUGUAGGAUAAUAUGUUUGGGAUGUUGGAUAUGUUAAGGUGUUUUAUAAUAUAAGAUUGUUGGAUAUGUUACGAUGUUUUACAAGUUAAGUUUGUGUAACUUUUGUAUAAUAUUGAUUAUACUUACUUUGACCAGUACAGUGCAUUCAUAAUGAUCUGUCAAAGUUAUAACAUACCUGAUCUUGCUAUACCUGACCUGUUCUUGCAACGUCGUUCAGGGUGACGGUAAGAAGUGAAUUUUCAGAAUAAAUUAACUAUGAAAAUGUUUUAUUGCUUUGGCAAAAUUUUUUAUAGUUGUGGAUAGACUGGCUAUUUCAUUGGGAUAUUAAUUUGUCAGUUUCAACAAAACUGAAUAUGGAUUUUAUUAGUUUGUGGGCAGUAAAUUUUGAGGACUCAACCAGGAAAUCCAUGAAAUUUUAGUCCUCGAUGUGUUAGUGAUUUCACAGUAUAUUUGAAGUUUGAUUAUGAAUUUCGGCAAACUUACUAUUAAUAAUUUUCUUUGUAAAUGAAAGUUAUGUGAAGAGUUCCCUGGCAACAUCUUAAACCAUUGAUGUCAUUAGUGGGAACUGUUUUCGUAUUUGUGACUUAAACAGAAUUUACUGAAGAGAUUUGUUUGUGAAAUUUUAAGUUGCAGGUGAAUGUGCAACUUAUUUAAAGAUCCAAAAUUCUUGUCCAUUUGUUGAUUUCCUUUAAGAAGUUGUAGGAAAAUUUUUUUAUCCUGUUUCCAAAGCUGAAUUGAAAAAAAAAUGCUUGCAACAUAACAGAUGAUUUUGUUUGCACUGUAGUAUAUGCUGCAUUAAGGUGUUGGUUUUGGAAUCUGAGUAGAUUAAUUUAAUACAUGUGUCAAAUUGUUGUCAAGUUUGUGCCAAAGUAUUAACCUACUGUAAAGUAUUCCAACCCUUACACUGCUAAAUUUCUAUAAUGAACUUGUCCUUCUUUCAAUUUUGGCAGAGGCUUUAACUGAUAAAAAGAGGGCAUGCCAAAAAGAUACUUUCUGAAUGGCGAACAGUGCAGAUCAUGAUCAGACUGCAAGGAUGUGCAGGCUGAUCAUAAUCUGUACUGGUGGCAAAGGCAGAAUCAGUUGUGUCCAGCAUGAUAAGGGUUAAUACUGUCAGAAGAAAUACAUGAAGUUCUUUUUUUCUGGAAGUUUAAGUACAUUUUCAAAUAAUGUUCAAUGGUAGCUGAACUGUAUAAUUUAAAUUGAUUUGUAUCACCUGUAUGCAUUUAAUGAUGAUCAAUGGAAUGCAUUGUUAAAGUUACUCUCGCGUUCAUUCUAUGUAUUUUUAGCUCACCUGAGCACAAGCUUUUAUGACCGCCCUGUGUCCGUCGUCGGCGUCGUCAACAAUUUGACUGUUAAUACUCUAGAGGUCACAAUUUUGACCCAAUCUCAAUGAAACUUGGUCAGAAUGUUACACUCAAUAAAAUCUUGGACGAGUUUGAUAUUGGGUCAUCUGGGGUCAAAAACUAGGUCACCAGGUCAAAUCAAAGGAAAAGCUUGUUAACACUCUAGAGGUCACAUAUUUGGCCCAAUCUUAAUGAAACUUUGUCAGAAUGUUACCCUGAAUAAAAUCUUGGAUGAGUUUGAUAUUGGGUCAUCUGGGGUCAAAAACUAAGUCACCAGGUAAAAUCAAAGGAAACGCUUGUUAACACUCUAGAGGUCACAACUUGGGCCCAAUCUUGAUAAAACUUGGUCAGAAUGUUACCCUCGAGUUUGAUAUUGGGUCCUCCGGGGUCAAAAACUAGGUCACCAGGUCAAAUCAAAGGAAAGACUUGUUAACACUGUAGAGGCCAAAUUUAUGACUGUAUCUUCAUGAAACUUGGUCAGAAUGUUAAUCUUGAUGAUCUAUAGGUCAAGUUCAAAUCUGGGUCAGGUGGGGUCAAAAACUAGGUCACUAGGUCAUUUCAAAGGAAAAGCUUCUUAACACUCUAGAGGCCACAUUUAUAACUAUAUCUUCAUGAAACUUAGUCAGAAUGUUAAUCUUGUUGACCUUUAGGUCAAGUUCGAAUCUGGAUCAUGUGGGGUCAAAAACUAGGUCACAGGGUCAAAUCAAAGGAAAAGCUAGUUUACACUGUAGAGGCCACAUUUAUGGCCAUAUCUUAAUGAAACAUGGUCAGAAUUGUCAAAAACUAGGUCACUAGGUCAAAUUAAAGGAAAAUCUUGUUAACACUCUAAGGCCACAUUUAUAACUGUAUCUUCAUGAAACUUAGUCAGAAUGUUAAUCUUGGUGAUCUUUAGGUCAAGUUCGAAUAUGGGUCAUGUGGGGUCAAAAACUAGGUCACAGGGUCAAAUCAAAGGAAUAGCUAUUUAACACUUUAGAGGCCACAUUUAUGACCAUAUCUUAAUGAAACUUGGUCAGAAUUUUAAUCUUGAUGAUCUUUAGGUCAGAUAGGUCAGGUGAGCGAUACAGGGCCUUCAUUGCCCUCUUGUUUUGUAAUUUAUUUGUGUGUGAGAGGUUGAGAUUACAACAUGUGUACAGAUAUAUGUAGAAAGAAAAGAUAUUUAUUUGAAUUCUUCUACAAUGUGAGGGGCAUCUUACAAAAGAAUUAUUUGACUGCUACUGUACAUAUAAAUUUUCAGAUUUUGACUAAUGUUUUUCUACAAGGGGUUUAUAAAUAGCUUUACACAGAAACAGCACUGUCCACGAUUUUGAUAUUUCACAGGCCUUAGAUUGUGUGGAAGAAAGUCUUUUAGUUCUUGUUGAAGUGAAAAUCUACCCAUUCAUUUGUGUAACUUUGACAAUUUCAUACAUGCAUUAUAUUUUUCUAUUUCUAAUGUUAUUUAUUGUUGUUUUCCAGUUUAAAAAUCUGGAAAUAAAUUAAGCCAAAGA